CAGUCGCCACGGGAAUACGUAGGGUGCAAGCGUUAAUCGGAAUUACUGGGCGUAAAGCGUGCGCAGGCGGUUAUAUAAGACAGAUGUGAAAUCCCCGGGCUCAACCUGGGAACUGCAUUUGUGACUGUAUAGCUAGAGUACGGCAGAGGGGGAUGGAAUUCCGCGUGUAGCAGUGAAAUGCGUAGAUAUGCGGAGGAACACCGAUGGCGAAGGCAAUCCCCUGGGCCUGUACUGACGCUCAUGCACGAAAGCGUGGGGAGCAAACAGGAUUAGAGACCCCAGUAGUCCCUGUCUCUUAUAC
rnacentral:rRNA from 1 species